rnacentral:rRNA from 1 species
UACGAAGGGGGCUAGCGUUGUUCGGAAUCACUGGGCGUAAAGCGCGUGUAGGCGGAUAUGCAAGCAAGAGGUGAAAGCCCAGGGCUUAACCUUGGAACUGCCUUUUGAACUGUAUAUCUGGCGUUUUGGAGGGGAGUGUGGAAUUCCUAAUGUAGAGGUGAAAUUCGUAGAGAUUAGGAGGAACACCGGUGGCGAAGGCGGCACUCUGGACAAAUACUGACGCUGAGACGCGAAAGCGUGGGGAGCAAACAGG